GUAGUGGUGGUUCAGUGAUAGAAUUUCUGCCUUUCAUGUGGGAGACCCAGGUUCAACUCCUGGCCAAUGUA
rnacentral:tRNA from 1 species